rnacentral:rRNA from 1 species
AGAGUUCGAUUAUGGCUCAGGACGAACGCUGGCGGCGCGCCUAACACAUGCAAGUCGAACGGAGUGUUGAGAAGCUUGCUUUUUAAUGCUUAGUGGCGAACGGGUGAGUAACGCGUGAGUAACCUGCCCUCGAGUGGGGGACAACAGUUGGAAACGACUGCUAAUACCGCAUAAGACCACGGGAUCGCAUGAUUCCGAGGUAAAAGGAUUUAUUCGCUUGAGGAUGGACUCGCGUCCAAUUAGCUAGUUGGUGAGGUAACGGCCCACCAAGGCGACGAUUGGUAGCCGGACUGAGAGGUUGAUCGGCCACAUUGGGACUGAGACACGGCCCAG